rnacentral:tRNA from 1 species
CGGUGGCUGGCGUAAUUGGAUAGCGCACCUGUCCACGGAGAUCGUCAUCUUCGGAGACUGUAGCAAACAGGAGGUUGUGGGUUCGAGUCCCACGUUGGUCA